UGGGGAAUAUUGCACAAUGGGCGAAAGCCUGAUGCAGCAACGCCGCGUGAGUGAUGAAGGUCUUCGGAUUGUAAAGCUCUGUCUUUUGGGACGAUAAUGACGGUACCAAAGGAGGAAGCCACGGCUAACUACGUGCCAGCAGCCGCGGUAAUACGUAGGUGGCGAGCGUUGUCCGGAUUUACUGGGCGUAAAGGGUGCGUAGGCGGAUGUUUAAGUGAGAUGUGAAAUACCCGGGCUUAACUUGGGUGCUGCAUUUCAAACUGGAUAUCUAGAGUGCAGGAGAGGAGAAUGGAGUUCCUAGUGUAGCGGUGAAAUGCGUAGAGAUUAGGAAGAACACCAGUGGCGAAGGCGAUUCUCUGGACUGUAACUGACGCUGAGGCACGAAAGCGUGGGUAGCAAACAGGAUUAGAUACCCUGGUAGUCCACGCCGUAAACGAUGAGUACUAGGUGUAGGAGGUAUCGACCCCUUCUGUGCCGCAGUAAACACAUUAAGUACUCCGCCUGGGAAGUACGAUCGCAAGAUUAAAACUCU
rnacentral:rRNA from 1 species